UACGUAAGGGGCAAGCGUUAUCCGGAAUCACUGGGCGUAAAGGGUGCGUAGGUGGCCUGAUAAGUCAGGAGUGAAAGGCAAUGGCUCAACCAUUGUAAGCUCUUGAAACUGUUGGGCUUGAGUACAGGAGAGGAAAGUGGAAUUCCUAGUGUAGCGGUGAAAUGCGUAGAUAUUAGGAGGAACACCAGUGGCGAAGGCGACUUUCUGGACUGUUACUGACACUGAGGCACGAAAGCGUGGGGAGCGAACAGG
rnacentral:rRNA from 1 species